UGCCCCCCCACCCACGUUACUGUUCAGCAGUUGUUUGGGACCCUGCUGUGCCAUUUGGAUCAUCUGUUCUCUACAUGUGUUCAGCCCAGUGGACUUGUGCUGUGGUAAUAAUGAGGAGAAAGCCAGAAGUUUCUCUGGAGCUGAUAGUCUGUCUGCUGGGAUUAGAGAUUAAUAAGCAAUUACUUCUAUUAGAGGCAAGAAGAGAGAGGUUUUGAAGGACAAGACAAGAUGCAAGAGACUAAGCUGGGGACAGGUUUUGUCCAUCAAGACGAAGAUUCUAAAAUGGAAUGUUCCCAGGAGGAGUGGCAGUUGAGCAACAGUUUUCCUUCAAGACUCAGCUCAAGUACAGCCUUCUACGUGAAUCUUUUCCAGAUGCCCACAACUGCGAAUUCACCAAGAACUGAAAAAUCGAGCAUUAAUUUUGAAUAUUUUAUGUGAAGAAACUGAACCAAAGAAAGGUUAAGUCACUUGCCUAGCGUCACACAGAAGAGAUUGGAUUGGAAGUCAAAUUUUCCUGACUCUAGGCACCACCUACCUGCAAUUUCCAUUCUGAGUCAAUUUCUCCAUACUGAAAAGUUUUCAAGAAUGGUUAAGAUCAUAACUGUCUCUAUCAUCUAAUGACCAGAUUACAUAAAGAGAAGUUCAUCACCAAUUAUUUUACAACUGUUAAUGGAAGUUUUGACACACCAAAUGCAGGAAAUAUAGGAAUAGAAACUAAGUUGCUCAGUCCUCACUAUUUAUUUCUGCUUUUGUAAUGACAGUGGUGGAGGGGUGGAAAAAUAGAAAAGGAGGCAGAGGAUGCUAGGAAUCACAGUUUUAGGCCACUUAUAAAUAUCAAUUAACUGUAGAUAAUAAAAAUGUGAAGUCCUUGUGCA
ensembl:lncRNA